GUGGGGAAUCUUCCGCAAUGGACGAAAGUCUGACGGAGCAACGCCGCGUGAGUGAAGAAGGUUUUCGGAUCGUAAAGCUCUUUCGUUAGGGACGAACGUGCUCUUUGUGAAUAAUGAGGAGUAAUGACGGUACCUAAAUAAGAAGCCACGGCUAACUACGUGCCAGCAGCCGCGGUAAUACGUAGGUGGCAAGCGUUGUCCGGAAUUAUUGGGCGUAAAGCGCGCGCAGGCGGGAUAUCAAGUCUGUCUUAAAAGUGCGAGGCUCAACCUCGUGAGGGGACAGAAACUGGUAUUCUUGAGUGUCGGAGAGGAAAGUGGAAUUCCAAGUGUAGCGGUGAAAUGCGUAGAGAUUUGGAAGAACACCAGUGGCGAAGGCGACUUUCUGGACGAUGUCUAACGCUGAGGCGCGAAAGCUAGGGGAGCGAACGGGAUUAGAAACCCUUGUAGUCC
rnacentral:rRNA from 1 species